rnacentral:rRNA from 1 species
AGAGGUGAGAGGUACUUCAGGGGUAGGGGUGAAAUCUUGUAAUCCUUGAAGGACCACCAGUGGCGAAGGCGUCUCACCAGAACGGACCUGACGGCAAGGGACGAAAGCUAGGGGCACGAACCGGAUUAGAUACCCGGGUAGUCCUAGCCGUAAACGAUACUCGCUAGGUGUCGGCCACGGUGCGACCGUUGUCGGUGCCGUAGGGAAGCCGUGAAGCGAGCCACCUGGGAAGUACGGCCGCAAGGCUGAAACUUAAAGGAGUUGGCGGGGGAGCACCACAACGGGUGGAGCUUGCGGUUUAAUUGGAUUCAACGCCGGA